rnacentral:rRNA from 1 species
UGCCAGCAGCCGCGGUAAUACGUAGGGUGCGAGCGUUAAUCGGAAUUACUGGGCGUAAAGCGUGCGCAGGCGGUUUGAUAAGCCAGAUGUGAAAUCCCCGGGCUUAACCUGGGAACUGCGUUUGGAACUGUCAGGCUAGAGUAUGGGAGAGGGAGGUAGAAUUCCACGUGUAGCAGUGAAAUGCGUAGAGAUGUGGAGGAAUACCGAUGGCGAAGGCAGCCUCCUGGCCUAAUACUGACGCUCAUGCACGAAAGCGUGGGGAGCAAACAGGAUUAGAUACCCUGGUAGUCCACGCCCUAAACGAUGUCUACUAGUUGUUGGUGGAGUAAAAUCCAUUAGUAACGCAGCUAACGCGUGAAGUAGACCGCCUGGGGAGUACGGCCGCAAGGUUAAAACUUAAAGGAAUUGGCGGGGGAU